GCCUGGCUGGCUCAAUCAGAAGAGCAUGCAACUCUUGAUCUCAGGGUUGUGGGUUCGAGCCCCAUGCUGGGUG
rnacentral:tRNA from 1 species